UACGUAGGGUGCGAGCGUUGUCCGGAAUUAUUGGGCGUAAAGAGCGUGUAGGCGGCCUGGAAGGUCAGCUGUGAAAACUCGAGGCUCAACCUCGAGACGUCGGUUGAAACCACCUGGCUAGAGUCCGGAAGAGGAGUGUGGAAUUCCCGGUGUAGCGGUGAAAUGCGCAGAUAUCAGGAGGAACACCGGUGGCGAAGGCGGCUCGCUGGGCCUUACCUGACGCUGAGGAGCGAAAGCGUGGGGAGCGAACAGG
rnacentral:rRNA from 1 species